UACGGGAGGCAGCAGUGGGGAAUAUUGCACAAUGGGCGAAAGCCUGAUGCAGCUAUGCCGCGUGUAUGAAGAAGGCCUUAGGGUUGUAAAGUACUUUCAUCGGGGAGGAAAAAACAAAACUAAUAAUUUUAUUUCUUGACGUUACCCGAAAAAGAAGCACCGGCUAACUCCGUGCCAGCAGCCGCGGUAAUACGGAGGGUGCUAGCGUUAAUCAGAAUUACUGGGCGUAAAGAGCACGUAGGUGGUUUUUUUAAGUCAGAUGUGAAAUCCCUGGGCUUAACCUAGGAACUGCAUUUUGAAACUGAAAUACUAGAGUAUCGUAGAGGGAGGUAGAAUUCUAGGUGUAGCGGUGAAAUGCGUAGAUAUCUGGAGGAAUACCUGUGGCGAAAGCGGCCUCCUAAACGAAUACUGACACUGAGGUGCGAAAGCGUGGGGAGCAAAC
rnacentral:rRNA from 1 species